GUGGAAAAGCGCCCCGCGCGACCUUUGCCCGGCCUCUCGGCCCCGACUUAUUUACCCAACGGCCGGCGAAGAGGCGGCAAGGCGGAAGGUGGGGGGGGGGGAGAGGAGCAGCCGCUGCCCGGCGAGGCGAGCGGGCGGAGCCGGGCGCCGCUCCCUCGUCGCCAGCCAGGCUCCAAAAGAUGAUGACAAGCCCUGAUUUGAGGAUCUACUUUGUUAUAGUAAAAGAUGGCAUCCUGAGUAAGUCCUUGGAGAAAAUCCCACCACCACCACCACCACCUUUGUCCUUCUGGGAGAACAUCAGGAGCUCUGGCAAGAUCCUCAGAUGGUUCUCUAGAAGCAGUAAAUGAGCGGUUGGAGAGGAAGGCAAUAUAAAAAGAGCCUUGAUAGUACAGUGGUCUAAGCACCCUGUUAUUAACACAGCUGCCUGCAACUUCUGCUGGUUCGAAUCUCUCCAAGGCUCAAGGUUGACUCAGCCUUCCAUCCUUUCUAAGGGAUUCUUGCAGGACGUGAUCUAAGAUCUUCAUUUCUAAAGCGAGCUCAUCCUGCCU